ACUUAAAUUGAAGAGUUUGAUCAUGGCUCAGAUUGAACGCUGGCGGCAGGCCUAACACAUGCAAGUCGAGCGGUAGCACAGAGAGCUUGCUCUCGGGUGACGAGCGGCGGACGGGUGAGUAAUGUCUGGGAAACUGCCUGAUGGAGGGGGAUAACUACUGGAAACGGUAGCUAAUACCGCAUAAUGUCGCAAGACCAAAGUGGGGGACCUUCGGGCCUCAUGCCAUCAGAUGUGCCCAGAUGGGAUUAGCUAGUAGGUGGGGUAAUGGCUCACCUAGGCGACGAUCCCUAGCUGGUCUGAGAGGAUGACCAGCCACACUGGAACUGAGAC
rnacentral:rRNA from 1 species